rnacentral:tRNA from 1 species
GAUCGGAGUGUGUUACGGGAUGCGGUGAUAUCGCACGAGAUUGGCUCACGCUCCGUUCACACCGGAGAGGUCACUGGUUCGAUCCCAGUAUCGACCACCA